rnacentral:rRNA from 1 species
UACAGAGGGGGCAAGCGUUGUUCGGAAUUACUGGGCGUAAAGGGCGCGUAGGCGGCCUUCUAAGUCGAACGUGAAAUCCCUCAGCUCAACUGGGGAACUGCGUCUGAUACUGGUGGGCUUGAGUGCAGGAGAGGAACGCGGAAUUCCAGGUGUAGCGGUGAAAUGCGUAGAUAUCUGGAGGAACACCGGUGGCGAAGGCGGCGUUCUGGACUGCAACUGACACUGAUGAACGAAAGCCAGGGGAGCAAACGGG